rnacentral:rRNA from 1 species
UACCAGCUCUCCGAGUUGUAGGGAUGAUUAUUGGGCUUAAAGCGUCCGUAGCCGGCUUAGCAAGUCUCCUGUUAAAUUCAGCGACCUAAUCGUUGAGCCGCGGGAGAUACUACUAGGCUAGGAGGCGGGAGAGGUCGACGGUACUUUCGGGGUAGGGGUGAAAUCCUAUAAUCCCGGGAGGACCACCAGUGGCGAAGGCUGUCGACUAGAACGCGCUCGACGGUGAGGGACGAAAGCUGGGGGAGCGAACCGGAUUAGAUACCCGGGUAGUCCCAGCUGUAAACGAUGCGGGCUAGGUGUUGGGGUGGCUACGGGCCACUUCAGUGCCGCAGGAAAGCCAUUAAGCCCGCCGCCUGGGGAGUACGGCCGCAAGGCUGAAACUUAAAGGAAUUGGCGGGGAGCACCACAAGGCGUGAAGCUUGCGGUUC